AGAAUCAACGCUGGCGGCGUGCCUAACACAUGCAAGUCGAACGAGAAAGUGGAGCAAUCCACAAGUAAAGUGGCGCACGGGUGAGUAACACGUGACUAACCUACCCUUGAGUGGGGGAUAACCUAGAGAAAUCUGGGCUAAUACCGCAUAAUACCUUCGGGUCAAAGGAGCAAUUCGCUUAAGGAGGGGGUCGCGGCCGAUUAGUUAGUUGGCGGGGUAAUGGCCCACCAAGACUAUGAUCGGUAUCCGGCCUGAGAGGGCGCACGGACACACUGGAACUGAAACACGGUCCAGACUCCUACGGGAGGCAGCAGUGGGGAAUUUUGCGCAAUGGGGGAAACCCUGACGCAGCAACGCCGCGUGGAGGAUGAAGCCCCUUGGGGCGUAAACUCCUUUCGAUCGGGACGAUAAUGACGGUACCGAGAGAAGAAGCCCCGGCUAACUUCGCGCCAGCAGCCGC
rnacentral:rRNA from 1 species